GGGAGAGAGAGAGGACGCGUUAAGGGCGCUCUCUCCGCAAUCUCUCUCCGUGCUCUCUCCCUCUGCUCUCUUUCUCUCCGCACUGGAGACGAGCGAGUGCGCCUCUGCAAGGGAGACACAAACGUGCGGGAUCAGCGCAGGAAUCAUGCGGCGGCGACCCGCUGAUUAAGGCGCGCACAGGUUGAUUGAGGAGUAGACGGCGUGCGGGGCCGAGGAGGAUGAGCAGCAGGGAGGAGGAGCGGUGAUGAUGGUGGUGAUGAUGAAAACGCACAGACCUGUCUGAAAUUCCUGUGAUCGUGCCUCUCGUUCGAUCCUCGUGGAUUUAUCGAAUCCAACAGCAGCAGCAGCAGCGACAACAACGGAGGUCGUGCCGGUCGCGCGGACGGAUAGCUGUGGAUGAUGGACGGGCCACGCGUAAAUGGAAGCGUCGGACGGGAUGGAAGAAGAUCUGUCCGCUGAUGGACUCAGCGGCUCUGGACUUCUCCGUCGAGAAUUGGGGAAAUCUUCACCGAGUCAUGCAUGGGAGCUGGACUGGCUUCGAGCAGGGGACCGGCUGAGACGUCUGCCCCUUUACGCUCGAGGCUUAAGGGGCAGGGCUAGAGCCCCCACCCUCGUCUAGACUCCAAGCCUUCUCCUGCUCGUCAGAGGGGGCCCUUGUGAGCAAUGAUGUGAGACCUUGAGUCACGUCCCGUGAGCUCGCACUGCCAGCAGCCCCGGGGCUCGGAGAAGGUCCCACUCAUCCUCACUCGACUUGGCAGCGCCACGAACCCCGGGACGACGACAACGUCGUGGUCGCGGUGGUCGUCGCACUCACCACCGAGUGAGCACCCGCCUCCUCGACCAUCCCAACCGCCGUCGACCUCCUCUGCCCUGGCCCGCCGGCCCGGUGCUCCG